CCUACGGGAGGCAGCAGUGGGGAAUAUUGCACAAUGGGGGGAACCCUGAUGCAGCGACGCCGCGUGAGGGAAGAAGGUUUUCGGAUUGUAAACCUCUGUCUUGUGGGACGAUAAUGACGGUACCACAGGAGGAAGCCAUGGCUAACUACGUGCCAGCAGCCGCGGUAAUACGUAGAUGGCGAGCGUUGUCCGGAAUUACUGGGUGUAAAGGGAGUGUAGGCGGGAUCAUAAGUUGCGUGUGAAAUGCAGGGGCUCAACCCCUGAACUGCGCGCAAAACUGUGGUUCUUGAGUGAAGUAGAGGCAGGCGGAAUUCCCGGUGUAGCGGUGGAAUGCGUAGAUAUCGGGAGGAACACCAGUGGCGAAGGCGGCCUGCUGGGCUUUUACUGACGCUGAGGCUCGAAAGCAUGGGGAGCAAACAGGAUUAGAUACCCUGGUAGUCC
rnacentral:rRNA from 1 species